AAAAGACUUCCUGUCUUAUCUCCAGCCAAUCAACAUCUACCCCAGUGUCAUUCCUAUUGGCCGAACUCACGCUGAUGUCACGGAGCUGUUGAAGUCGAUGUGUAGGACGUGUCCUCUUCCGCUGUGAUCUACAGACCUCUGGGAACACUGAAACGCACCAGACCAGAGCAGCACACCCACGAUGUGGACUGUGCCGAUUGGCUGUUUGAGGGGGCGGACCUGGCCCC